rnacentral:rRNA from 1 species
GGGCGUAAAGAGCUCGUAGGUGGUUCGUUACGUCGGAUGUGAAAAUCUGGGGCUCAACCCCAGACCUGCAUUCGAUACGGGCGAUCUAGAGUGUGGUAGGGGAGACUGGAAUUCCUGGUGUAGCGGUGGAAUGCGCAGAUAUCAGGAGGAACACCAAUGGCGAAGGCAGGUCUCUGGGCCAUUACUGACACUGAGGAGCGAAAGCGUGGGGAGCGAACAGGAUUAGAUACCCUGGUAGUCCACGCCGUAAACGGUGGGCACUAGUUGUGGGAACCUUCCACGGUUUCUGCGACGCAGCUAACGCAUUAAGUGCCCCGCCUGGGGAGUACGAUCGCAAGAUUAAAACUUAAAGGAAUUGACGGGGCCCCGCACAAGCAGCGGAGCAUGCGGCUUAAUUCGACGCAACGCGAAGAACCUUACCAAGGCUUGACAUAUACCGGAAUAUGGCAGAGAUGUCAUAGCUGUAAAAGGUCGGUAUACAGGUGGUGCAUGGUUGUCGUCAGCUCGUGUCGUGAGAUGUUGGGUUAAGUCCCGCAACGAGCGCAACCCUCGUUCUGUGUUGCCAGCAUUUAGUUGGGGACUCACAGGAGACUGCCGGGGUCAACUCGGAGGAAGGUAAU